rnacentral:pre_miRNA from 1 species
AUGUCUUAUAUUUUGCUAUUAUCAUUGUUUCAAUGAAAAUGGUGAGCAAAGUUUAAGACAUUC